AGAGGACUAGCUGAGUGGUUUAGCAGCUCCUUUACACGGAGCAGACAAAGGUUCGAUCCCUUUGUUCUCUA
rnacentral:tRNA from 1 species